rnacentral:piRNA from 1 species
AUACCCUCAGUGUUGGUCCCUU